rnacentral:lncRNA from 1 species
AAUGAAGGGCGAGUAGGUAACGGCGGAAGUGGCGCCAUCACUCGAAACAAGAAAAAAAAAACACAGAAACAGAAAGUAAAGGAAGACGAAAGGAAGACUGUCGGAAAAGGCAAAGAAGAGAUGAAAAGGUUUCGACGAAGAAGACGAAGGAGAAAUGAAAAGAUUUCGUCAGAAAAGAAGAGGAAGAAACGAAAAGGUAGAAAAGACAAAAAGAAUGUGAAGCUUGGGGAAGAAGAAAAGCCGUCGUGUCGAACCAUCGCAUCGAAGCGAGUUCCGAGGUCGGCUAUGAUGAUGAAUAGACGGCGGCAAUUAAGAGGACAUAAUU